UGGCGUCACUCGCAGGCUCCAGACGCCGCCAUUUCGCCAAGCCGAGGUCUCUUGGUUGCGGCACUGCUUCUGGCUCGGUGCCUGUAUUUUCUCGGUGCCUACAGCGCCCAGGUCGCCGAUCUGAGGGCUUCGGAGUACCGGCCGGGCGCGGUGGCUCACGCCUGUAAUCCCAGCACUUUGGGAGGCCGAGGCGGGCGGAUCAGGAGGUCAGGAGAUCGAGACCAUCCUGGCUAACACGGAAAUGUAGACUUAGGUGUAACAUGUACCGGUUUAGAUCUGACAGAGAUAUCACAAUUGUAGGAUUGCAUCUUUUAGCAAGAUUAAGGUUUCCACCCACCUCCCUGAAAUCUGAUUUGGACCCCCAGGAGGCCAGAAGAGUAUAAAAACGCAAAAGAUGUUGACUUCUGAGUCCCACAUACCCGGCGUCAGCUGGUGAAUGAAAGACACGAAGGAGCUGCUGUGGAGCUGCUGUCUCCCCUCGGAGUUUGGCAGGCCCGGGAUUCCGCAAAGGAGUUGGCGGGGCCAGAUGCCUCCAGCCCUGAGCUCAGUACAUUCGGUGUCCUGGAUGCUCCCUUCCUUUCCUUAUCACUGCGAGCUCUCCUGGGACGGCCUAGAUUUCCACUGGGACCUACUUUCGGCUCCCUGCGUGCUUCAUUGCUGAAACUGCCGGCGAAAAGAUCUCUUUCUCAAGCCUCAGAGCACCUUGAGGCGGGGCGCAGAGUCGCCCGCUCUGGAUCCCGCGCCAGAGACCCAGGAGGAUCCGCAGGAGCCCUCGGGAGAGCAGGAGGCUGCAUAGGGUCUCAACGUACUCCCGUCCCCGCAGCCUCCCUCGCAACUCGCCCCUCGCUCGGUAGGCAGACAACUCCAGCCGGACAGGUCCGUCCGAGGAGACCUUUCAGAGUGUCAGCCUACUGCUGACCUCGGAGCCACCAACCAAAGUUCCAAGACUGCUGGCUGCAGAUUGCAUGCUCUUGGGGCAGACGCCCUAAGAAUGUGUCCACCGAGUCCAAUGUGUCUUUGGAGUCCUGAGCCCUGAGAUUUCCGCUAAGACCUUCCAUUGGACGAUCUCUUGUAACAGAUGUUGUUACAGUAACACGUGAGUUCGCUCAAAUGCGAUGGAAGUUUUGCCUUUCGAUCAUUUUGUGCCUUUGUCUUUCCCCUUCUCAAUAAAAUCGUACACAAAUGUGAAAUUCUUGUUGCCUGUGUUCCUGUUGAUGUUGGGUAAGGAUGAGCCUCAGGGGCGGGGUGGCUGGUUGCUGGUGCCAGGACUAUCACGGGGACCCUGAAUCCCCUAGGUUUGCUGGUUGCAGGGCAAACAAAAAGUACAAGAAGUGUGUGUCUUAUGCAGAGAUUGGAGGGGAGAAUAGGCCAGGGGUCGUGCAUGGCUGGUGACUCACAGGCUGAGCCUACAGGAAAUCCGGUGAACAGGCAGCAGACCUGAGAACUUACUGCAGGAAAUUCUCCUGUUCUGAGGCCCUGGAACUUUUUCCCUCUGAAGGUUUGCACCUUUCUAUCUUGAGGCCUUGUUAAACUCAUAAUUUCUGGAAGUUUUCUUCUAGACUCUUUAAGAUUUUCUCCAUAGGCUCAUGUUCUGCAUGUAUGAAUAGUUUCAUUUUUUCACUUCCAAUGUAUAUGCUUUCUUACUCCUUUUCUCACCUUAUUGCACUGGCGAACAAUUCCAGUAC
rnacentral:lncRNA from 10 species